GCCACACUGGGACUGAGACACGGCCCAGACUCCUACGGGAGGCAGCAGUGGGGAAUAUUGCACAAUGGGCGAAAGCCUGAUGCAGCGACGCCGCGUGAGGGAUGAAGGCCUUCGGGUUGUAAAGCUCUUUUAGCAAGGAAGAUAAUGACGUUACUUGCAGAAAAAGCACCGGCUAACUACGUGCCAGCAGCCGCGGUAAUACGUAGGGUGCGAGCGUUGUCCGGAAUUACUGGGCGUAAAGAGUGCGUAGGCGGUUUAGUAAGUUGGAAGUGAAAGCCCGGGGCUUAACCUCGGAAUUGCUUUCAAAACUACUAAUCUAGAGUGUAGUAGGGGAUGAUGGAAUUCCUAGUGUAGAGGUGAAAUUCGUAGAUAUCAGGAGGAACACCGGUGGCGAAGGCGGUCCUCUGGGCUGUAACUGACACUGAGGAGCGAAAGCAUGGGGAGCGAACAGGAUUAGAUACCCUGGUAGUCCAUGCCGUAAACGAUGAGUGCUAGAUAUCGGAAGAUUCUCUUUCGGUUUCGCAGCUAACGCAUUAAGUGCCCCGCCUGGGGAGUACGGUCGCAAGGCUAAAACUCAAAGGAAUUGACGGGGGCCCGCACAAGCGGCGGAGCAUGCGGAUUAAUUCGAUGCAACGCGAAAAACCUUACCAACCCUUGACAUGGUGGUCGCGGAUCGCAGAGAUGCUUUCCUUCAGCUCGGCUGGACCGCACACAGGUGGUGCAUGGUUGUCGUCAGCUCGUGUCGUGAGAUGUUGGGUUAAGUCCCGCAACGAGCGCAACCCUCGUUCUUAUGUUGCCAGCACGUGAUGGUGGGAACUCAUAAGAAAACUGCUGGUGAUAAGCCAGAGGAAGGUGGGGACGACGUCAAGUCAUCAUGGCCCUUACGGGUUGGGCUACACACGUGCUACAAUGGUGUUUACAGAGGGAAGCAAGACGGCGACGUGGAGCAAAUCCCUAAAAGACAUCUCAGUUCGGAUUGUAGUCUGCAACUCGACUACAUGAAGUCGGAGUCGCUAGUAAUCGCAGAUCAGCAACGCUGCGGUGAAUACGUUCCCGGGCCUUGUACACACCGCCCGUCACGUCAUGAAAGUUGGUUUUACCUGAAGGUGGUGAGCUAACGCAAGGAGGCAGCCAACCACGGUAAAAUUAGCGACUGGGGUGAAGUCGUAACAAGGUAGCCGUAGGGGAACCUGCGGCUG
rnacentral:rRNA from 1 species